UACCUACUAUAGAAACUAGAUUACAAACUAAAUCUUAACUUAACUUCAUAACAAACAGUGUAUUUAAUAUAAAUCCUCAUAAGGCGCAGCUAUAGAUAUCUACUUAGCCAUCGUUAUCUAGUGCCAGCUGCAGCUAACGGUAAAAAAUCACAUGUUUACGCCGUCAGUACUAGUUGCCGGCUUAUCGAAAUAACAAGUAAAUUAAAUCAAAUUCAGUGCCUAUUGUGAUUAAAGUGCAGUUAUCUCAAUAUUUAGUGCAUAAAACAAGUACAUUACGUGUUUUUUCAACAGAUAUACUAGUACACAAAGAUAUUAGGACCUAACGAGUACAUAGUGCUAAUUAUCUUAACUAAAACUACGAAUUACAAAUCGAAUGUGCCCAUGAAGAAGCUGCCGAGCAAUACUCCCAGCGGAAUACUUUCGAGGCAACGUACUACAGCAGCAUCGCUCGCGCCCAGCUCCUGCUGAGCGAGGCGGAGGGUCCUGCAGGCAGGAGUAGUAAGUCACCACCAGCCGAUAUGCAGGUGACGGAUAUGAAGCGCACAAAGCUCGGACCAAAAUGACUUAUUGCCACUCACACCUGGCCACUUCAUCAUCGGGCGAAGUAUGACGGCGAUCCCAGAAGAAGACCUUACUUCACGCACCAGAUUAGUGGACAGAUACCAGAAGAUUCAACAGCUUCGCCAGCACUUCUGGGCACGUUGGCAACUAGAAUAUAUAAGUGAGCUUCAGAUCCGAACUAAAUGGAGGCAGUCGACGAACGGGCAACUAGAGAUUGGGACCCUCGUCGUUAUCAAAGAUAAGCAACAACCUCCAAUAAAAUGGCUCCUAGGGAGAAUACAACGAGUCUUCCCAGGGCGCGACGGCGUUACCAGAGUCGCAGAGAUUCAAACUAC